UACGUAGGGUCCGAGCGUUGUCCGGAAUUACUGGGCGUAAAGAGCUCGUAGGUGGUUUGUCGCGUUGUUCGUGAAAACUCACAGCUCAACUGUGGGCGUGCGGGCGAUACGGGCAGACUAGAGUACUGCAGGGGAGACUGGAAUUCCUGGUGUAGCGGUGGAAUGCGCAGAUAUCAGGAAGAACACCAAUGGCGAAAGCAGCUUUCUGGGACGGUACUGACGCUGAGGAGCGAAAGUGUGGGGAGCGAACAGG
rnacentral:rRNA from 1 species